rnacentral:rRNA from 1 species
GAUGAACGCUAGCUACAGGCUUAACACAUGCAAGUCGAGGGCAGCACAGUGUAGCAAUACAUGGGUGGCGACCGACGCACGGUGCGUAACGCGUAUCCAACCUUCCCGUUACUCAGGGAUAGCCUUCCGAAAGGGAGAUUAAUACCUGAUGGUGUUUGAAUUCCGCAUGUUAUUCAAACUAAAGAUUUAUCGGUAACGGAUGGGGAUGCGUGACAUUAGGUAGAUGGCGGGGUAACGGCCACCAUGCCUACGAUGUCUAGGGGUUCUGAGAGGAAGGUCCCCCACACUGGAACUGAGACACGGUCCAGACUCCUACGGGAGGCAGCAGUGAGGAAUAUUGGUCCAAUGGUCGGAAGACUGAACCAGCCAAGUUAGCGUGAAGGAUGAAGGUUCCUAUGGAUUGUAAACCUUCUUUAUACGGGAAUAAACCACCUACGUGUAGGUGCUUGUAUGUACCGUAUGAAUAAGCCAUCGGCUAACUCCGUGCCAGCAGCCGUCGGU